GACGAACGCUGGCGGCGUGCCUAACACAUGCAAGUCGAACGAAAUUACGAAGAAAGCUUGCUUUAAUCGUAAUUUAGUGGCGGACGGGUGAGUAACGCGUGAGGACUUGUCGGAUACAGGGGGACAACAGAUGGAAACGACUGCUAAUACCGCAUAAGACCACAGAGCCGCAUGGCUCGGGGGUCAAAGGAGAAAUCCGCUGAAGGAUGGCCUCGCGUCCGAUUAGCUAGUUGGCGGGGUAACGGCCCACCAAGGCGACGAUCGGUAGCCGGACUGAGAGGUUGAUCGGCCACAUUGGGACUGAGACACGGCCCAG
rnacentral:rRNA from 1 species